rnacentral:sRNA from 1 species
AGCGCUGACAUGUUCUUUAAACGUCACACAUGCGCCGUCACAUGUGUUUGGGUGCCUUGCGAAUAGGUCGACACAUGGGGCGUAUGGAGGCAUAACC